GGUUGGCUUGAUGGUGGAUCAUCUGCUUGGUGUGCAGAAGGCACCAAGUUCAAACCCUGGCAUCUCCA
rnacentral:tRNA from 1 species